GGGAUUUAGUUCACAAACUUCAACAAUCGGCGUCUGGUAAAGCAACGAACAUCGACUGUUGAUGAUAUGAUGAUGAUGAACACGUCACAGCUGCGAGCGUUAUUCGCAAAAGGCGGAUGAACGGCAGCCAAAAUCAAGAUCGUGAUGGACAAAUGGCUGCCAAACAGAGGCUGAUGAUGAUGAUGAGCGGGAACACAACGUUGCAAAGUGAUGACGAGUAACGAUGAUG
rnacentral:lncRNA from 1 species